CCGGCAUGGCCCCUCCUGUCCCCUCACUGCGGGACAUGGAGCAUCCCUGAGGAGGAGGGGCUGCUUCGGGCCUGUUUAGUCUAGAGAAAAGUGAAAGGGGAUUUCACCCAUCCACAGAAACAUCUCAAAUAUCCACACAAGUAUCUAAUCUCAGAGGGGAUCUCACCGAUCCAUACAGAGAUCUCGAAUAUCGAUACAAAUAUCUCAUCUGAGGGGGGAGCUCAUCAAUCCAUACAAAUGUCUCAUCAACCCACGAGUUUUCAGUGCAGGUCACCAAGAAGCAGUUUGUACCCAGGUGAGCCCACUGUGUGAGCCAACAGGUCAGGGAUGGAAAUGCCUCUACCCAGAGCUGUCAAUAUCUGCUACCUCAGGGACCUGGGCUGGCAUGGAUCUCACUAAAGACAGGAAGCUUUUGUGAUCCUCUCCCUCAUCGUGAAGACCAACCACGAGCAGGAUGAGACAGUUUGAUCCUCACAGUCUUGGAAUAUCUUCUCUCAUUUUCUUCCAGGGCUGUUCAUUGUGCAGCUGAACCAAGAGCAGAGACAAAACCUGUGCAAACCCACCCUGCAGGCUGGAGUCCUUUCCAUCCAAAACAGUCCAAAAAAGUCAAUGGUUAGUUGAAAAUUUGGCAGAAUCAAGCAAGAUAAUAUAAAUAAAAAGCAAGUAAAAGAUU